rnacentral:rRNA from 1 species
UGGGGAAUUUUGGACAAUGGGCGAAAGCCUGAUCCAGCAAUGCCGCGUGUGUGAAGAAGGCCUUCGGGUUGUAAAGCACUUUUGUCCGGAAAGAAAUCCUUGGCUCUAAUACAGUCGGGGGAUGACGGUACCGGAAGAAUAAGCACCGGCUAACUACGUGCCAGCAGCCGCGGUAAUACGUAGGGUGCAAGCGUUAAUCGGAAUUACUGGGCGUAAAGCGUGCGCAGGCGGUUUGCUAAGACCGAUGUGAAAUCCCCGGGCUCAACCUGGGAACUGCAUUGGUGACUGGCAGGCUAGAGUAUGGCAGAGGGGGGUAGAAUUCCACGUGUAGCAGUGAAAUGCGUAGAGAUGUGGAGGAAUACCGAUGGCGAAGGCAGCCCCCUGGGCCAAUACUGACGCUCAUGCACGAAAGCGUGGGGAGCAAACAGGAUUAGAUACCCUGGUAGUCCACGCCCUAAACGAUGUCAACUAGUUGUUGGGGAUUCAUUUCCUUAGUAACGUAGCUAACGCGUGAAGUUGACCGCCUGGGGAGUACGGUCGCAAAUUAAAACUCAAAGGAAUUGACGGGGUCAUAGCUGUUUU